rnacentral:rRNA from 1 species
GAUGAACGCUAGCGACAGGCUUAACACAUGCAAGUCGAGGGGCAGCGGGGACGGAAGCUUGCUUUCGUCUGCCGGCGACCGGCGCACGGGUGAGUAACACGUAUGCAACCUACCUCCGACAGGGGGAUAAUCGGCGGAAACGCCGUCUAAUACCGCGUACGACUUCGGGAGGCAUCUCCCGGGGUUGAAAGCAAUACGGUCGGCGAUGGGCAUGCGGCGCAUUAGCUUGUUGGCGGGGUAACGGCCCACCAAGGCGACGAUGCGUAGGGGUUCUGAGAGGAAGGUCCCCCACACUGGUACUGAGACACGGACCAGACUCCUACGGGAGGCAGCAGUGAGGAAUAUUGGUCAAUGGGCGCGAGCCUGAACCAGCCAAGUCGCGUGAGGGAAGACUGCCCUAUGGGUUGUAAACCUCUUUUGUCGGGGAGCAAAGCUGCCACGUGUGGUGGUUUGAGAGUACCCGAAGAAAAAGCAUCGGCUAACUCCGUGCCAGCAGCCGCAGUAA